rnacentral:rRNA from 1 species
UACAGAGGUCCCGAGCGUUGUUCGGAUUCACUGGGCGUAAAGGGUGCGUAGGUGGUGAGGUAAGUCGGAUGUGAAAUACUGGAGCUCAACUCCGGAACUGCAUUGGAAACUACCUUGCUGGAGGAUUGGAGGGGGGACUGGAAUUCUCGGUGUAGCAGUGAAAUGCGUAGAGAUCGAGAGGAACACAGUGGCGAAGGCGAGUCCCUGGACAAUACCUGACGCUGAGGCACGAAAGCUAGGGGAGCAAACGGG